rnacentral:rRNA from 1 species
UGGGGGAUAUUGCACAAUGGGCGAAAGCCUGAUGCAGCGACGCCGCGUGGGGGAUGAAGGCCUUCGGGUUGUAAACUUCUUUUGCUCUGAACAAGGCAUGCCUUUGGGGUGUGUUGAGUGUAGGGGUUGAUUAGCGCCGGCUAACUACGUGCCAGCAGCCGCGGUGAUACGUAGGGCGCGAGCGUUGUCCGGAAUUAUUGGGCGUAAAGGGCUUGUAGGUGGCUGGUUGCGUCUGUCGUGAAAGCUCAUGGCUUAACUGUGGGUUUGCGGUGGGUACGGGCUGGCUUGAGUGCAGUAGGGGAGGCUGGAAUUCCUGGUGUAGCGGUGGAAUGCGCAGAUAUCAGGAGGAAUACCGGUGGCGAAGGCGGGUCUCUGGGCUGUUACUGACGCUGAGGAGCGAAAGCGUGGGGAGCGAACAGG